rnacentral:rRNA from 1 species
AGAGUUUGAUCCUGGCUCAGGAUGAACGCUAGCGGCAGGCUUAACACAUGCAAGUCGAGGGGCAGCGAGAUCAAAGCUUGCUUUGAUUGUCGGCGACCGGCGCACGGGUGCGUAACGCGUAUGCAACCUACCCACUACAGGGGGAUAACACUGAGAAAUCGGUACUAAUACCCCAUAAUAUUUUGGAAGGCAUCUUCUGAGGUUGAAAACUCCGGUGGUAGUGGAUGGGCAUGCGUUGUAUUAGCUGGUUGGUGAGGUAACGGCUCACCAAGGCGACGAUACAUAGGGGGACUGAGAGGUUAACCCCCCACAUUGGUACUGAGACACGGACCAAACUCCUACGGGAGGCAGCAGUGAGGAAUAUUGGUCAAUGGACGCAAGUCUGAACCAGCCAUGCCGCGUGCAGGAAGACGGCUCUAUGAGUUGUAAACUGCUUUUGUAUGAGGGUAAACCCGGGUACGUGUACCCGGCUGAAAGUAUCAUACGAAUAAGGAUCGGCUAACUCCGUGCCAGCAGCCGCGGUAAUACGGAGGAUCCAAGCGUUAUCCGGAUUUAUUGGGUUUAAAGGGUGCGUAGGCGGUUUGAUAAGUUAGAGGUGAAAUGUUAGGGCUUAACCCUGAAACUGCCUCUAAUACUGUUGAGCUAGAGAGUAGUUGCGGUAGGCGGAAUGUAUGGUGUAGCGGUGAAAUGCUUAGAGAUCAUACAGAACACCGAUUGCGAAGGCAGCUUACCAAACUAUAUCUGACGUUGAGGCACGAAAGCGUGGGGAGCAAACAGGAUUAGAUACCCUGGUAGUCCACGCAGUAAACGAUGAUAACUCGCUGUCGGCGAUACACGGUCGGUGGCUAAGCGAAAGCGAUAAGUUAUCCACCUGGGGAGUACGUUCGCAAGAAUGAAACUCAAAGGAAUUGACGGGGGCCCGCACAAGCGGAGGAACAUGUG